GUUCUCACUUUGGCAGCACAUAUACUAAAAUCAGAAUGAUACAGAGAAUAUUUGCAUGGUCACUGUGCAAGGAUGACAUACACAUUCAUGAAGGAUUCUGUAUUCUU
ensembl:snRNA U6 U6 spliceosomal RNA